CCCCUCUCAGGCUCACACCUGGAGAGUUUCCAGUACUCUACCAGGUUCGGUACGGGAGGGAGAGUCAAGCAGAGGCUUACCCAUUCCAUUCCUAGCUUGGCCAGUGGCUAGCGAGUGGAAGGCAAUUUGCUACAAGC
rnacentral:snoRNA from 1 species